AUCUAGGGAGACAGCGACCUCCAGGAGACAGCGACCUCCGCGACGCAGCACAGACUGAGCUGGGAAGGGUCUCCAAGAACACCUGAAUCUUCCUCAUCCCCAGAGGACUCCAGGUGUCAAGCUAAGAAACCCAGAGACCCCGCUCUCCAGCACUGCAGUUCCUCCCGGCUGCCACAUGGUGUCACUGUUGAAGAGCAGGCAGCACUUUGCAAUGUCAUUUAAUACACACGGCAGCCCUGUGAGAUGGACAGGUGGGAGCUAUAAAGGAGAAGGAAGCAGACGGAUGGGAAAGCCAAGCUGCACGCAGUCUCCGUUGCCACACGGUGAAGGAACAGGAGGGCUCUCGGAAGAAAUCAUUGUGGGGCUGGCCCCGUGCCUGAGUGGUUAAGUUCGGGCUCUCCGCUUCGGCAGCCCGGGUUUCUCUGGUUCGGAUCCUGGGCGUGGACGUACACCCCGCUCAUCAGGCCACGCCGAGGCGGCGUCCCAUGCAGAGGAACUAGAAUGACCUGCAACUAGGAUAUACGACUAUGUACUGGGG
rnacentral:lncRNA from 1 species